AGUCGUAACAAGGUAUCCGUAGGUGAACCUGCGGAUGGAUCAUUACAGAAGUUAUUAUUAUAAACUUCAAAGUCGUGUGAACCGUGUGUGCGUAUAUGUUCGGUCGGUGGUUUAGUGGGGUUUUUUUUAAGCCACACGCCACCCACCGCCGGCAUAUAUUUACCAAACAACAAAAACGUAUAAUAAUUAUCAUGUCUGAUAUCAUAUAUAUAUAUAUAAUGGAGUAAGAAUCCUUUUUAAUUAAAAGACAACUUUUAGCAACGGAUCUCUUGGCUCUC
rnacentral:misc_RNA from 1 species